rnacentral:misc_RNA from 1 species
AAAUGCGAUAAGUAAUGUGAAUUGCAGAAUUCAGUGAAUCAUCGAAUCUUUGAACGCACCUUGCGCUCCUUGGUAUCCCUUGGAGCAUGCCUGUUUGAGUAUCAUGAAAUCUUCAAAGUAAAUCUUUUGUUAACUCAAUUGGUUUCUACUUUGGUAUUGGAGGUCUUUGCAGCUUCACACCUGCUCCUCUUUGUUCAUUAGCUGGAUCUCAGUGUUAUGCUUGGUUCCACUCGGCGUGAUAAGUUAUCUAUCGCUGAGGACACUGUAAAAGGUGGCCAAGGUAAAUGCAGAUGAACCGCUUCUAAUAGUCCAUUGACUUGGACAAUACUUUUAUGAUCUGAUCUCAAAUCAGGUAGGACUACCCGCUGAACUUAAGC